GACGUAGGGGGCGAGCGUUGUUCGGAAUUACUGGGCGUAAAGCGUGCGUAGGCGGACUUAUAAGUCAAGGUUGAAAUAUCCGGGCUCAACUCGGGGCACGGCCUUGAUACUGCAAGUCUUGAGUCAAGUAGAGGGUAAUGGAAUUCCCGGUGUAGCGGUGAAAUGCGUAGAUAUCGGUAGGAACACCUGUGGCGAAGGCGGUCUCCUGGGGCAGACUUGACGCUGAGGCGCGAAAGCUGGGGGAGCGAACGGG
rnacentral:rRNA from 1 species